rnacentral:rRNA from 1 species
CGAAUUGAUGGGAGCUUGCUCCCUGAGAUUAGCGGCGGACGGGUGAGUAACACGUGGGCAACCUGCCUAUAAGACUGGGAUAACUUCGGGAAANNGGAGCUAAUNNCGGAUACGUUCUUUUCUCGCAUGAGAGAAGAUGGANGACGGUUUCGGCUGUCACUUAUAGAUGGGCCCGCGGCGCAUUAGCUAGUUGGUGAGGUAAUGGCUCACCAAGGCGACGAUGCGUAGCCGACCUGAGAGGGUGAUCGGCCACACUGGGACUGAGACACGGCCCAGACUCCUACGGGAGGCAGCAGUAGGGAAUCUUCCGCAAUGGACGAAAGUCUGACGGAGCAACGCCGCGUGAACGAAGAAGGCCUUCGGGUCGUAAAGUUCUGUUGUUAGGGAAGAACAAGUACCAGAGUAACUGCUGGUACCUUGACGGUACCUAACCAGAAAGCCACGGUUAACUACGUGCCAGCAGCCGCGGUAAUAC